rnacentral:lncRNA from 1 species
GUGCGUGUGUGUGUGUGUGUGUGUGUGCGUGUGUGUGUGCAAAUAUAAGUUUAUUUUAGCAGAAAAACGGUAUAUCUAUUAUCAUGCUUUCGAUAUCUUUGGGGAUGAAUUAUGGAGCCUCUUAUGUUAAUCGUAGAAUAUAUUAUAGUAGUGAAUGGCAGUAGAACUCGGUGGUUAACUUAUCGUUGACAUCAUACUGUGUCCACUUCUCUGAGAAGUGAAUUGUAACUUAUAUAAUAAAGAUUCCACUACGACUGUUUUUUAAAAUCUUUACUGUGAAUUUCAAUUGUGAGGCAUCCACAUUCAAUAGUACCAGUUUAUCUGUCACAAAUAGGUUAGAAGCAUUCAGUUAUUCUGCUGAUUUUCUCUAAACCUUCCGCUGAAAUUUUGCCUGCCAUAGUAAUGGACAAAAUUCAGGUUCCUGUCUCAAUCCAUUAAAAAGAAAAUAACCAACUUUUUUUUAUUUACCGUCACUCCUACUAAAGAAGGGGCGAACAUAAGCCACUUACAAUUUAAUUUACUCGUGUGAUUCCAAAUGCUAGAGGACUGUAAUUGGCUUCAACGAAGCUGAGGUCAGUACAUAUGCGAUAAACCUAUCCUCUAUAUUUAACUACAUAAGCGUUAAUAUAUGCAAUUGCCUAGAUAUGAAUUUUUGUAAAAUUUUAGGUGGUUUACUAAAUAUCCAUUUAAAACUAAUCUCGUAAUUUGCAUACAUGCAGAUGCUCAGAAUGACAUUUAAACGUCUCAUUAUCUAGUUAUAUUUCAAGAUUAAAUGAAUAUAUUAAGAAUGAUAAAUCCAUGGUUUGUUUCAGGGACGCGAGUACAUUUAAUUGUAUAUUGUAACGCUGUAUUAAUGAUUUUAAUACUCGACGGUAUGAAAUUCACUCAUAGUUUAAGUGGAUUCAUCCUUUUAUGAGAUAUUCACACUGUUUUAAUUAAAUACAGUUUCAUUGUUUCCAAACAAAAAAGCUUAUACAGUUCAUGUGUUUGUGUUUUUGUUUGUGUGUGUGUGUGUCUGUGUGUUUAUGUGUAUGUGUAUGAAUAUGUGUGUGCGUUUGUGCCUGUAGGCGUGUGUGUGCCUGCACGUAUGUGUGAGCAUGUUUGUGCUGUGUGAGAGUAUAGGUGUGAGUGUAUCUGUGUAUGUAAAAAUCAUGCACCUCGUAGGUGUGUGGUUUCCAGUUCCGGCCCACAAGCGCGACACACUGGACUAAUAUUUUCAACAAUAGCCUACUAUAUUACUAUAUAUACAUGUAUAUGCAUAGACAUACGUCCAUAUGUUUCAUAUCUAGUAGUCUAUCUAUCUAUCUUUUACUAUAUUAUGUAUAUAUGUAUAUACAAAUAUUUGUACUUGCAUACACACCCACGCACGCACGCGCGCGCAAGCACACAAAUACAUAUCUACAUGUACGUACUUAUGUAUAUGCAGUUCUGCAUAUAUAAACAAAGAGAAGAUAUAAGGAAGGGAAGUGGAAAGGAUGUUGGGGAUUGGAGGAUUUUAAAAAUUUCUAUGCAUGUUGUUAUACUUUUGCAGGAAAUUUCUUUUUAAGCCAAAUUUUAUGUUCGGUUUGCAUGAGUUAUCCCAACCAAUGCGUCAGUCAGCACAUCUCAGAUGAAUCAGCUACUCUAUCAAUUCAACCUCGAAAAUGAUUGAUUUCACUAAAUGUUAAACCUAUAAAAAUAUCUCAUAUAUCAUGUCUUCUUGACCUAAAAUGUUUAAAGACAGGUUCAUGUAUUUAGAAUUGCUAUUUGUAUUAUAUUUUACAGGUGCGCAACUUGAUGCCCUAUUUUAUAUAUUUCAAUAGAUAUACAAUAUCUACUAGUCUUUGAUAUGGACAUCAUAAUUUAUGGAAUAAUAUAUAUUCCUCUGUUAUCAUUAAUUCCCCAGAUACAUGAUACUACAAGAAGCAAUACAGAAAAUUAAAUGUUCCGUUUUUUUUGUUUUGUAUUUUUGCUUUUCCGUUCAAAAUUUGAUAUUACUAUAUCCUUCUGAGAAUGAUCUCAAAAUAUAAGAAAAUCUCAUUGAUGUUCCGUAUCAAGCUUCUCUCAAAGAAUAUAUAUUCUGUUAAUGCAUUCUUAUGCGAUAAUACUACCCGUCUAUCUUCGAAGUAAUCCUAAAUGAAUGCUAUGUAGAUCGUCUUUGACACUACAUCGAACCAUUUAGUGCUGUUUCUUCAAUGAACAGUAUCAAUGUGCAAAAUGUUAUUAUCAAUAUAAAUAUUCUACAUAUUCUUAAAAACAGAUUUAUAUAUUUACAUUUAAGUAACUUAUAAGCAUAUGUUUUGAUUUGAUUGUCUUCCAAAUGUCAUUAGUCGUGAUUCGCAGUUGAUUGUGACAUUUUGAUUUGUAUAGCUUUGCCUUUAAAACUGCUAUUUCACUAUUUCCUGGCCACUUUGUGCAUAAAGAUUUCAGAACUGUCCCACUCACCAGAAAUUGUCUGUUCGAGAGAAAUUAUUUUUACCUUCCUUCCAUAAUCAGUCCGACACGCUGUAGGUUUAGGUGAUAUUUUUAUUUUAAGGCAGAUAGAAUAUGAAUGUUAAAUACUAAUAUUCAUAUCAUUUUAAAUCUUUAAUUAUAUUUUGAAAUUUCUUCUCAAAAUCCGACCAGUUAAACUUGCAUUCUUUACGAUUGUUGAAACUUAGCGAAACGAAAUAAUUUGUCAAAGCCUAAUAAAAGAUAUUUGAUUACAUCAUUGAAGAGGCAAAGUAAUAUUAAAUGUUGAUAUAUUGUUACUUCAUUGCAUUGCUUUAUAUUCUUUUUCGAAACAUUCUAAUACAUCUCAAUAAAUGGCAGCGUGAAACUCAAUUCAUUCCACUAAUAUUACCAUUUGUUUUUAACGAGAUUGGUUCAUUAUUAUUUGAAGGCUCAAAUUACUUUUCACAUAUUUUCAGUAUAUGGUAAUUUUAUAUUUAUUUCAUGAUUUCAUGGACAUUUGUCAUCCCGAGAUUUUCCAAUAUUAAGCCAUGUCUUGUCGUAUGCAGCAUUCUGACAAUUAAAAAUAAUCUAUUUGAGUUCUGAAAAUUACUUCUUUGUUUCCCAUUAUUUUAUAAAUUAAAUAAUUGAAGAGAUGAUUUGCAAAUGUUAUCUAAAUAUAAAUUGUUACCACUAUUUAAACGUAGGUCUUACUCCUGAUGGUACCAUGUGGGUACAGUCAUGACGUACGGCGAGAAAAAUUACAGACAGUUCAUAUUAAUAGAAUAUGUUGAAAGAAUAUCCGAAUAUUUUUUUCAUAAAUUACUUAUUCAUAAUAAUGAGUAUUUAGAAGAUAGUUUCUUAUAAGGAAAAUAUAAUAGCUUAUCAUAUUGCCGUGUUAUAAACAUAUUUUUACAUAUUAUAUAUGGGCGCCGAAGUCAAUCAAAUGUUGGCUCAAAACAUAUCAAGGAUAUCCAAAAUCUCCAUGGAUAGCAAUCUAUUAUUUCCACUCCCGUAGCUAUGUGAUUUUUCUUUACUUAAUACAAAUGGGUCAAUUGAAAAUUGAAGCUGACUGGUUUUCAAGUAAGCCAGUGUUACAGAGCUAUAAUUUCUUGUACAGCUUUAGAACUCACACGUUCUUACUGGUACGAUGCGAGUUAAACAUAUUUAUAUGAUGCCAAACAGAAAAAAAGUCCAAUCUAUAUGUUCUUUAAUAAUUGCGCUAAAUUAUUUAUUUUGUGUAUUCAUCUUCUCAGUAAAAUAUUUCCAACAAUGUAUUUUUAUAAUAUAUGGUUCAUUUUUCUUAUGCUAGUCUGAAACAAGUUUGUGAAUACAUCAUAAAUGUUCAUAAUUUAUUUUUCCACUAUUUUUAUUCGUAGUCGUACUUUAUUUGUGUGUAUUUUGUCAAAUUCGCUAAUCUUAUAUUAAGUGUAAAUCCCAUUCCAUUCUAUCUCUUAAAAUAUCCGAAAGUAAUGUGAUGAAUCUUAAGAAACGUAGUAGUUGACAUUUUGAAAUUUAAUUAUUUGUUUGCUUUAUGAAAUAUGAUACAGUGUUUUAAAAGUCAGAUUGAAAUAAACAUUCCUAACGUCAACAGUAGCAAACAGCUUUAUGGCUAUGCUGACCAUGUCUGCCAAAAUAAUCUUGAUCAAGUAAAUUUUAACUGACAAGAUCUGCUUGCCCGCUAUACUCGGUUUGCUCUCAGGUGUAAUACUCAGUACAAAAUUCUGGUUAUUUCAGGAUCAUUAUUGUUUGGUACUUCGCUAAAAUGAAACAACUCAAACACAUGUAGUGACAUUUUAGAAACGUUAUAUGAUGGUGUAUACCAAUCUAAUUCAUAAGGUUCAAAAUCUGCCUGCUGAAAGUGUACAUUGCUCGGUGAUAAAUAUUUUCGGCUUGCACCAGCAUUUUCAUUUGCUUUUGUUGAUAUCAAAAGCGAAAUGAGUAACUUAAAGAGCAAUGAAAUUCACUAAAAUUUAAAGACAACAUAAGUGGGCUUUUGUGUUAAAAGUGAUGCUUUCUAUUUGUUUCAAAAUUAAAUUGAAAGCAUUUUAUUCUAACUUCUUCAAUGAAAUAACGCAAAUAGAAUAUUAAUAGUCUGAUAUUUUUUCUUACAAUAUCUACAUAAAUGUAUUUCAGUUUAAUAUAAGUACACUUAAUUAUUAACUUCAACAAUACUUGUCUCUCAGUUGUUAGCAAUAAAUUAAAAUCUGACUUUGAGUCAAUUUUUGUUUUCAAUGUAUAGAAUAUGGAAAGUUCAAAGCAGCUUGCUAUAACUAGAUGGGCAUUAUCAGCUGUACAGUUGACUACGUGAUAUAUUCGCGUGAAGCUUCACGCAUUCUGGUGACAUGUAUCUUACAGUAUAUUUAUAAUAUAUUUAUAUGGAUUUUAAAUCUUCCCAUAUGGUAUAUUGAAUGAAUUGCUGCGAUAUUAUAGAUGCUCAUACAAUAUGAUGAUUAGCUUGUAUGAUAGGGUCAUACGAGAUGUCCGUAUAAACUGAUCAUUUGACGUCCAAUAUCCAAUAUCUCACGAGAGCCUAUUAAAAAUGCAAUUUCUAAAUUUAUUGUAUCAACGUAUAUCAAAACAUGGAUUACUUGGGAUAUUAUGUAUUUUCUUUUCCCUUUAUUUUGAAUUAUAUUACAAGUGACAUAUGUAUGAAAUGAUAUUAACCUUAGAAAAAUUAAUGGGAGAAGAUUAACGAAUUCUUAUAUAUGUUGAUAUCUGCUGUAGCCUUGCGGAUUCCGAAGCAAUUAACCUGAAGUUACAAAACAGAAAGGAACUAGAAUUUGAAAAUAUAUAAAAUUGCAGGAAACAGUAAUAAACUUUGAAUCCCCUUAACAUGUAAAUCUAAUAACCAUACUUUGAAUGUUUUAAAAUAGUAUUUCAUUCAUUAUUUUCAUAUAGCAGUUAUUAGAAAAAGGAUUACGUUGCAAAGAGUAAAAUAGAGAUAUGUUGUGACAAAGAUUCCCGUAAAAUGGUUGAAAUUCAAUUGAAUAUCAUGACAUAAGUAAUUUAUUUGACAUUAUACUGUGUAAAGUUCGGAAUGCAUUCAACAAAUGGAAAAUGUUGCAAAUAGAUAUUGUAAGUUGUAAGCUCGUAAAUUUCAUUUAGAUCAUUAAAUAAAAGUUUUAUAUUUGCAUUUUCUUGCAGAAAAAAAUAUAACAUCUAAUGCGAAAGUCUAGUAAUUUUAAAGAUUUCUAUAUGAUUUCGGUUUUAUUGAAUAUUUGUAUGUUAUUUCCAAUAUAUCCGAAUACUGAAUCUUUCUAGCUACUAACAGUGCGAGCGAACGCUACACACAAGAUUGUGGAGAAAGAAGACGAGCUGUGAUAUUAACCAUCGUGUCAGGAUACGUUCCUGCUUUG